rnacentral:misc_RNA from 1 species
GCAAACUUGGUCAUUUAGAGGAAGUAAAAGUCGUAACAAGGUUUCCGUAGGUGAACCUGCGGAAGGAUCAUUACCGAGUGCGGGCCCUCUGGGUCCAACCUCCCACCCGUGUCUCCUGUAUACCCUGUUGCUUUGGCGGGCCCACCGGGGCAACCCGGUCGCCGGGGGGCGUCAUGCCCCCGGGCCCGCGCCCGCCAGAGCGCCUUAUGAACCCUACUGAAGAAGGACUGUCUGAGUACCUUGAUAAUUAAUCAAAACUUUCAACAAUGGAUCUCUUGGUUCCGGCAUCGAUGAAGAACGCAGC